rnacentral:SRP_RNA from 1 species
GCCGAGCUUGGUAGCGUGAGCUUGUAACUCAAGUGAGGGCAUUAAAGUGGGAUGGACUUUGAAUGAGCUCAGAUUGGUUGGGUCAAGUGUCUGCAAUAGCUGCCUUGCCCAUUCGUUUCAAAUGAAGCAAGUGUUUCAAGCGAAAAAGGCUUGGGUCCCUUGAUUCAUAGCUGGCUUCACAGAGCUGCGACUACCUCUUGGUCUGAACAGUGAAAGGAUCACAGGCCGGUGCACAUCCUUGGCUCGAAUAAAGCUUGGCUCAUUCUAAUGGACUCCCACUUUU